ACGUAAGGGGCAAGCGUUGUUCGGAAUUAUUGGGCGUAAAGGGCGAGUAGGCGGAUUGGUAAGUUAGGUGUGAAAGCUUUCAGCUCAACUGAGAAACUGCGCCUAAAACUGCUAAUCUAGAGUUUUGGAGAGGAUAUCGGAAUUCCUGGUGUAGGGGUGAAAUCUAUAGAUAUCAGGAAGAACACCGGUGGCGAAGGCGGAUAUCUGGCCUUAAACUGACGCUGAGUCGCGAAAGCUAGGGGAGCAAACGG
rnacentral:rRNA from 1 species